rnacentral:rRNA from 1 species
UGAGGGAAUAUUUGGGUCAAUGGGCGAGAGCCUGAACCAGCCAAGUAGCGUGCAGGAUGACGGCCCUAUGGGUUGUAAACUGCUUUUAUGCGGGGAUAAAGGGGGCGACGUGUCGCCCCUUGCAGGUACCGCAUGAAUAAGGACCGGCUAAUUCCGUGCCAGCAGCCGCGGUAAUACGGAAGGUCCGGGCGUUAUCCGGAUUUAUUGGGUUUAAAGGGAGCGCAGGCCGGGUAUUAAGCGUGUUGUGAAAUGUAGGCGCCCAACGUCUGCACCGCAGCGCGAACUGGUGCCCUUGAGUACGCACGACGUUGGCGGAAUUCGCCGUGUAGCGGUGAAAUGCUUAGAUAUGGCGAAGAACUCCGAUUGCGAAG